UCAAGCUAAUAAGAGCACAGGGUGGAUGCCCAGGCACCAAACGCCGAUGAAAGACGUGGCAAGCUGCGAAAAGUCACGGGGAACCGCAAGCAGGUAUUGAUCCGUGAACGUCUGAAUGGGGAAACCCGGCGGGUUAACAGCCCGUCACUAUUAACUGAAUCAAUAGGUUAAUAGAGGGAACGCGGGGAACUGAAACAUCUCAGUACCCGUAGGAAGAGAAAAUAAAGAAUGAUUUCCUAAGUAGCGGCGAGCGAACGGGAAAGAGGCCAAACCGAAGGGCUUGCUCUUCGGGGUUGUGGAUCAGCAAAAAGGACGGAAGACCUUAGCAGAAGAGGAUUGGAAAGUCCCGCCAGAGAGGGUAAAAGCCCCUUACGCGAAAAGGUCAAACGACGAGCUGACACCAGAGUACCGCAGGACACGAGAAAUCCGGUGGGAAGCCGGGAGGACCACCUCCCAAGCCUAAAUACGAAUUGGUGACCGAUAGCGCAUAGUACCGUGAGGGAAAGGUGAAAAGAACCCCGGGAGGGGAGUGAAAAAGAACCUGAAACCCUGUGUUUACAAGCAGUGAAAGUGCAAGUUAGGCACGAUCACGUACUUUUUGUAGAACGGACCGGCGAGUUACGUUAUGCAGCAAGGUUAAGAACUGAAGGUUCGGAGCCGAAGCGAAAGCGAGUCUGAAUAGGGCGAUAGUUGCAUGACGUAGACCCGAAACCGGGUGACCUAUCCAUGAGCAGGUUGAAGUGGAGGUAAAGCUCCAUGGAGGACCGAACCAGACGUCUGUUGAAAAAGGCGGGGAUGACUUGUGGAUAGGGGAGAAAUUCCAAUCGAACCCGGAGAUAGCUGGUUCUCCUCGAAAUAGCUUUAGGGCUAGCCUCAUGGAUCAUUGAUGGGGGUAGAGCACUGAAUGUGCGCGGGGGCCACAAAGCCUACCAAACGCUAUCAAACUUCGAAUACCAUACAAUGCAGACCAUGGGAGUCAGUCCGCGAGAGAUAAGUUCCGCGGGCAAAAGGGGAACACCCCAGAUCAACCGCUAAGGUCCCCAAGUUCACGUUAAGUGGAGAAGGAUGUGGAAUUGCACAGACAACCAGGAUGUUGGCUCAGAAGCAGCCACACAUUUAAAGAGUGCGUAAUAGCUCACUGGUCGAGUGAUUGUGCGCCGAAGAUGUCCGGGGCUAAACGUGACACCGAAGCGAUGGGUGCAUCUGAAAGGAUGCGCGGUAGAGGAGCAAUGUGCAGAGGCAGAAGCCGUAUCGAGAGGCACGGUGGACACUGCACAAGAGAGAAUGCCGGUAUGAGUAGCGAGAGGCAUGCGAGAAACAUGCCCGUCGAAAGCCCAAGGUUUCCUGGGGAAGGUUCAUCCGCCCAGGGUAAGUCGGGGCCUAAGCCGAGGACGGAAGUCGUAGGCGAUGGACAGCAGGUGUAGAUUCCUGCACUACCGAUGGAAUGAAGCAGUGACACAGAAGGAUAACUCGAGCAGGGUGAUGGUCAACCCUGUGCAAGCAUCAAGGUUGGGUUGUAGUGAAGUACGCAAUCCUACAAGCUGAGGUGUGAUGCGGACCGAAAUUUUAGUAGGGAAGCGAGUGAGUUCACGCUGGCGAGAAAAGCUGCUAGUAUAUCCAAAGGUACCCGUACCGGAAACCGACGCAGGUGGGCGAGGAGAGAAUCCUGAGACGAACGGGAGAACCCUUGUUAAGGAACUCGGCAAAAUGACCCCGUAACUUCGGGAUAAGGGGUGCCUGCGAGAGCAGGCCGCAGAGAAUAGUCACAAGCGACUGUUUAGCAAAAACACAGGUAUCUGCGAAAGCGAGAGCUGACGUAUAGGUGCUGACACCUGCCCGGUGCUGGAAGGUUAAGGGAACAUGUUAGAGCAAUCGAAGCAUCGAACCGAAGCCCCAGUAAACGGCGGCCGUAACUAUAACGGUCCUAAGGUAGCGAAAUUCCUUGUCGGGUAAGUUCCGACCCGCACGAAUGGUGUAACGACUUGUGAGCUGUCUCAACAGGGGGCCCGGUGAAUAUGCGUAUGAUGCUGAAGGUGGGGAAGAGCUUUAGCGCAGAGAUGUCGGACGAGUUGAGCAAUUCCACUUUCAUGAUGAAAUUCCUGUCUAUCCUGUAGAGGUCCUCAUCGUGGGUGAUGAAGAACUUGUUUAUCAUAAACAGAAUGGGUUCCUUGAGAUUGGGGUAGAGUGCCUUCUUCACUUCGUCAAGAGUGACCAGGAAGGUCUUGUUGUCCUGGUCCUCGUAGUUGAUUACAUACCAAAAGUCCCUGUUGCGAAUGGCAGGCGUUUGCCCUUUGCCACUUGCCAGGCUGUCUGGCAUGUUUAUCGUGAUGGAGUCGUUGUGGGCUCCUAUGCCUCUUAUCGUGAACGGUUUCCCGUGUCCAAUGCGUAUCUCCCUCUUUUUCGUCGAACAGCAGUUGAUGCCUAUGUCGUAGGGGCCGAUAUAGACUCCAUCUACCAUAUAGCAUCCCCUUGCGUUGUCAUUGAAAUCUUUGUCUGUCAGAUAUUCAAAUCUGUGGUUCUCGUCUUUGCGCUUGACCUCCUUUCCCCAGUCUUUGGGUAGAUCUUGCUUUUGCCUCUUGUUCCAUUGCCGCACAUAAUCUUCUUGGUGGUCGGCUCGUUUGAUGAGCUUCAUCAUUCUUCUGGCCUCCCUUCGGGUAGGGAAGUCUCGUUCGUGGGGAGCUUUUUGCGCUUCCAUUGCCAGACUGCUCAAGCAGAAGCACAUGAGCAGAAGCAUCUCCGUGAACCGAUUGUUUCUUGAAUCCAUGAGUCUUUGCGGCAUAUGUGAUUUGUAAGGCAAUCCCGUUUCUUGUCAGAUUCGAGGCUUGGAAUAAUAUUGA
rnacentral:rRNA from 1 species